rnacentral:rRNA from 1 species
GACGAACGCUGGCGGCGUGCUUAACACAUGCAAGUCGAACGGAAAGGCCCUGCUUUUGUGGGGUGCUCGAGUGGCGAACGGGUGAGUAACACGUGAGUAACCUGCCCUUGACUUUGGGAUAACUUCAGGAAACUGGGGCUAAUACCGGAUAGGCGCUCCUGCUGCAUGGUGGGGGUUGGAAAGGUUCGGCGGUUGGGGAUGGACUCGCGGCUUAUCAGCUUGUUGGUGGGGUAGUGGCUUACCAAGGCUUUGACGGGUAGCCGGCCUGAGAGGGUGACCGGCCACAUUGGGACUGAGAUACGGCCCAGACUCCUACGGGAGGCAGCAGUGGGGAAUAUUGCACAAUGGGCGGAAGCCUGAUGCAGCAACGCCGCGUGCGGGAUGACGGCCUUCGGGUUGUAAACCGCUUUCGCCUGUGACGAAGCGUGAGUGACGGUAAUGGGUAAAGAAGCACCGGCUAACUACGUG